GAAGACACAUGCAGUUAACUCCAGAAUUACCCUAAACGCAAAUUGUUUACUGCUAUAUUUACAUUCAGACAUUCUGAUGAUUGUUUAUUUACAUUUUUAUUUAUUAUCUGCUGGUUCUGUGGUAAAGGUGGAAAUGAACAGGAGCUUCCUGAUGAUCCAGCGCUGACAGGAGAAACGUGUAGACUCUGUACAAUGAGAAUAAAAUCACUAACUGCCGUAUUCAGUGCUAAUAAGUCUGGGCGCAUGUGCCCAUUGUCUAAGCUUUCCUUUCAGCACUACGCAUGUGGACAGCAAUUCUCUUAUUUUCAUUGUUUUUUAUUUUCCCCCUCUAAAUUCUUCCUCAGAUAAAUGCAUCCCAGACUGUAUUUGAUUUAUGUUUAAAAUAAUUAAAAAAUCAGUUUUUUUUCUGGUCAGUGGGAACAUUUUUUUAUUGUUAGCGAUGAAUUUAUUAGAGAUAAGAAAAGAAAAUAACUGUGGGGUGUAUAUUCUCUUCAGCUCGCUCUAUCUAUAUAUUUAAAAAUAGUCGGAAAAGACGAGAAACUGCGAGCAAAUCGGAGUUGUGGCAGCCAGAGUGUCUGCAGACUGAACACAUUCACACAUACCAUCUCUCCGCCCUCCCUCAGAAAUCAUAUUUAACUAAGAUUAUGUCAAAUUUCAAAGAUCGGAAAUGUCUUGCCCAAAAGCCUUUCCCGUAGGAAAAAGUCAAAAGGGUUCCUGGCAUUAAAACGACUUUGCGUCAAUCCUGAUGAAAUUAGCAUCUCUGCGUUUGUAGAUACUUGUUAUGGCUGUACUUUGAUCACAGUAAGAAGAAGUAAGAGAUUUUUUUUUAUCCCCCAGUUGAAGAGGAGUGUUCUGUUUUUCUAGAUGGGAAUCCAGAGACAAACAUGUUAAAGCCUGUUAGACUUAGAGGCUGUAUUUUACUUUUCUUUAAGUGCAAGUGAUGGGAAUUGCUAACCCUGGUCAAGAAAAUUUCAUUUCCCCCAUCCUGCUAAACGGCUCUGGUAGACAUAUGUUUGUUAUCAGAGAGAGGUGCUAUGAACACAGAGCCAUUUUCUUAGCAGCUUUUUGACUGUAUAUUACCAUAGUCCCACACGGCAUUGGUCCUUUCCCAUUGGGAAGUCAUGAAUAAGAGACUAUGAAGCUUGCACGUCAGGUCUUCCUCAAUUAAUCCACCGUUAGCAUGUUUGGGAUCCACUACUGGAUGGUUAACAGCAGCUUGGGUAACUGUAUGCUGUCCAUACCCAGUUAUGCUCUGCUAAAAAUGAACUCUGCAGACCAACCUUCUUGAGCUGUCAGUGUCUCCCGUUUUCCCAUUUUAACGUUUGCAUGUAGUGGCAGGCGACAGAUGGUGUAGAUCAGAUCGAUUUGAUUGCAUUAGGCCAUUUUUUCCCCUCCUCUCCGUCCGACUCCUUUUCUGGAAGCCCACAUCAUCUGAAAGGCGAUCGCCGGGGACUCGGAAAGCACCAGCAGCCGCCGAUGUGUGAAGGCAACUGGGCACGGCCAGCCAGAGGCGCCGGGCUUCUUUCCCAGGGCGCAGUAAUCCGGCACCAGGAGAGAAAGCCACGUUCUGCUGCCCAGAGCCUAUUCCCCGACACAUAUCAGAUGACUCCCUGGUUUUACACACAGUUGGAGUUCUGCUUGAAACCUGGAUUUAAAGGGGAUCUGUUGCUGUGAGUGACAUCUAUUCCAAGCACCCAGAGAGAACUAAUGGAGGACACAGAUGGGAAUAGGAUGCCAGGCAAGCACAGAGGAAGAAAUCAGGGAAUCACCAGGACUGGAAGUACAGCAGCCAUUGGAUAAUGGGACGGGAUCAGUCGGCAACUCUGUGGAUUCUCCUUCUCCUUCCUCUGUAGGGGAAAUAUAGUUAUGGAUUUAUUGCCCCGGUGCAGCAGUUCCAGCAGCAGCCGCAGCAGCAACAGCCUCAGCAGAUUUCUGACUCUCUUCGGUGACGGGUAUUCUUGGGUGGAUAAUACGGAUUACGUUGUUAUUGCUUAAGAAUACGCGUAGUCGAGGAGAGUACCCGCGGCAGGCAGGCAGGCAGCGGCCGCCCCCAGCCCAGCAGCUGGCUCCUAAUCUACUAUAGUUGCCAAGGUAGCCCCUUUUAAAUCUUUUCCUGCACUUUGCUAUGUCUCUAUGUCUGUGAUUAGGUGAUCCCAGGGGUUGCUAUGUACACGGCAGGGGUAGGAGACUCUGGUGAUGAGUCUAGUCUUGUGCAUCCUAGGGGAGUACCCCACGGCUUCUCUUUCCCCAAAGCUUGUGAGCGUGAGAGGCUGCAGCGCCAAGCCUGUGUGUGGCUGGGACAGUGCCGAGUCGAGGGGGAGGGGGAUGUGUCUAUGACCUUUGUCCUCAUGUGUCCGCGACCCCCUCCCCAUCAAUGCUGUGAAAUACUGAGCUGCCUUUCUGGUUUGGGCACUUAGUAGAGCGCCAGGCCAUGGCCCUGGGUAGGCAGGGAGGAGAGAAAACCUCCCGCGACCGAAACCCGGGGGAGAAAAGGGGACUUGCCAGAGAUCGGCUUUGUAAUCUGUUGCUGGAGCUGCAUGGUUGCCAGGGGGUCUGUAGGAAGCUGCCUGGCUGGUCUCCCGAUGGUGGCGGGUAGGUGUCGAGGGCUGGGAACGGGGCUGAAAGACGAUUAGACUAGUUCAGAGGGGGGCCCAAUCCUGCGACUCUUGCGCAGGCAUCCUGCCCAUUGGCUUCCACUGGAGAUUACAUCGGUUUCCGUGGGAGGUUUGGGUGCGCAGGGGACCCAGACUGGAGACUCACUGGAUAGUACUCGAACUACCCCUGGAACCCUCUUGCGCCGAUUCCCUUAGAGAAGGCGAGCAGGGAAACACGAUCCCUGGUGCAGUGCAGAACCCAGCAUAGAGAGAGCGUGACAAAGCUGCGCCAGGACGGGCACAAGCAGUUUGCUGAUGAUCGGGUUACACGUAGGUUCCUUUAUUCCCUGUGUGGGUCUCGCUAGCCACGGGCUAAGCAAGCAGCCUAGGCACUAUGUGGCCUGUGCAAAUUCACUUCGCAGGGCAUCAGUACCCAGAACACCCAGUCCUCCCGCCCACUCUGCCAGUGCAUUGUAACGUUUCAAACAUGGGUCCGAAGCAGGUUUUUUAUUCUCCUUCAUAAGGUCUGAUCCUGGCAGCCGAGGGGGCUCGCUCCUCAUUGAGGUUGGCCCCUGGUGUCAGAGACCCCACAGUAGAGCUCACCCCGCUUCCCCCCGUGCUGCACUCUCCUGGGAGUGGUGCUCCCGGGGUCCCGAACCGCACAGCGCACCCAUCGCCUGAAUUCCGCCGGGGACGUUUCUCGCCCUAAUCCUCCUCUACGGGUUCAGUGAAGCUCAGCUCAGUAGCUGGGCAAAAAGAAGACAAACCCCGACCUUUCCGGCUAAUGACAGAGACAUGGGAAACGCUGUCAAGCCCUGGUCUUGGCAAGAAGCAACAUGGGGCCAGAGCUAGCACCCCAGCUAGUGCCCUAGAGCCCCCGGUUUCUAAUGCAAGGAGCGCAGAGGAGCAAAUAAACACUCCAAAGAGAUCUCCUGGCCUCCAGUAGAAGGCUACAGGUCUCAUGAAUUCCUGGGGAACUCAAGUGACAAGAGCUAAUCUAAAGAGCAGCUACCCAAAGACGUUGCACCUGCUGGAGCAUUCAUAUAGGUACAGCCAGACAGCGAUGGACGGGGAAUUUGCUGUUGAGUUAAAACUUCCCCAUGGCAGAGUAUUUUCUGAUUUCUGCUCAUCCUCUCGCUUCAUCUUUUCCCUUAAUUAAGCAAAUGAACCUCCAGCCUAAAUUGCCAACUUUCGCUUAGAACCCUUUCCUGACAAGAACAACGCAAACUUCUUUUUUUAGCAAAUCCGCCUCCAAGUCAAAGUAUAUCCCCAUGGUCCCCUUUUUAACAUUGCAAACUGCUGGUGUAGUCUGUGGCCUUCUGCAACCACCACCCACAGCCAGAAUGAGAGCCCUUUGGAGCAAUGUCAUAUUAAGAAAUAAUAGGCAGACGCAAGAAGGCAAAACAAUUUUUCCCUUCCGGGGUCUUUUUUUUCCGGGGAGUGGGGGGAGGUUGCUACACAGUUUGAAUUUUGUUGAGCUCAAAAGGCGAUAGCGGAUUUUGUCCCGCUCACACGCUUCAGGGAUCCCAACUUUCUUGCUAGCCUGUCACGGUUCUUGCCAUGGUGCCUGUAGCCCAGUCGGCCGCGGUCGAGCUGUUCACAGCACCUUCUGUGGACUAAAACGAGAGUUUGAUGCAUGUCGCCCAGUGUAGGGAAACGGAGGCAGGGUCCUUUUGGAAGGAGCCUUUUAUGGCGACAGCACAAUAGGCACUGCCUAGCUUUGCUUUGCUUUGCUUUGUUUUGUUUUGUUUUUUAAAUAGAAAGCCUCCUCCCCUUUUCAGAGAGAACACACGAGAGGAGAGAAAGGUGUUCUGUCCAGCUUGAUACUUCUGCGAUCGGUGCUGAGGGAAGGCCAUUGUCCAUCGCACCCGGGGCACUCUGUCCAGGUUAAAACCUGCAGCAAGGGCUCAUUAGAAGGGAUUCUUGGGGAAUGUCAGAAAAUUCCUGGGCGGGAGACCUAAAUCUAAAAGAAAUCACAGCAAACCCUAUUUAACUGAACCACACGAUAUGCUGGACCUUGUAGUAGUGAUUGAUCUAGAAUGCUUAAUCAACAUCAAUAGCCUUUCUCCAUAAGUUCCCAACAGGAUGCAGCACUAGAACUGUGCAAAUGUAUUUGCCAGUUUAAGAGCUUUUCUUUUUUUAACAAUAAUAUGUAACAGCAAAAAGCGAACAGCUUUAGAAAGAGAGGGAGGAAAUUAAAAUUUUAAAUCACAAUUGAGUGAUUUAUCUUGGGGAUCAACUAUUUUGCUUCAGGAGAUAACCUCUUUGCAGAGGCUGCCUUUCCCCACUGAUCAGUCCUGCACAAGAUUUGAAUCUGUAGAAUAACUGCAUUGUAUGUGCUAUUCAGCUGGAUACAGGUGCUGACACUUGCUGAGCCUGAAUGUCUUGUCGUGUGUUACCGUGUUACAAUAAGCAGUCUUUACUCAGCUGCAGCUGGGUGUGCAAAGGGUGAAUAGUGCUAAAAUGCGCUUUCUUUACUACUAGCGCUGAACUAAAUCCUGAAGUCCUCAUCUCCCAAUACCAUUUAUGCUUUAGGUGACAGUAAAACAAAUAGCCUGGCUGCAUAAGCUCACGUUUUCCUUCUUUUGUCAGUCAAGAAAUCCCAGCCCCUAAGUUUGUGGUUUAUAGUUUGUGGCCCUGACGUUCUCUGGAGUGUAUCACAGCCACAAAGCUGGGGUUGCCAGUUUGAUCUCUUCAUGUAAAAUCAAAUGUAGGCAAAGAGAUCCCUGUUGGCUACACAGAAGGGGAAAGUUCAUGUAGGGGCCUUAUCCCAGGAAGUGUAUGGAAUAGAAUAGCCUGAAAUGCGAGAGGUGGGCAGGCUGAUGUGAAAAAAAUAGGCUGCAGGGCUAAACUUCCCAGUUUUAUAAGGUAACAAAGGUGGGGCAUAGUUUGGACAAAACAGGUACACUCAGCCCACUUAUUCCAGCCAACAUAGCUUAGCAGCACAGCUACAGUUCUGGCUGAAGUUGGGUUAACCUUUAAACUGCAGAGCUCAGAUUGGAAAUCGAAGCCAUGGCAUUCAUUCCCUCAACUUCCAGCUCAUUCUCUCUCCGCCCCGCUCCACAUACAGUAGACACAGAGACUUAGAUAGGCACGCAGGCGCACUCAUCCACGGGCUUUUUCCUCCUUUUUUCUUUUUAAACUGGUAAUAGCGGGGAACCUGGCAUAAUCCACCCAGUCUUUUCUCCUUCCCUCUUCAAAUGCAUAGAUAAUGCCACUUCUUUUGAUGCUACCCAUGUAUAAAUGUGAGCACAGUGAAUUAGAUUAGAAGCCAUUUUAGGCAAACACAGAAGUGUGGUGAUGAAGUAGGAUAUUUUAGGAUGGAGCCUUCCAUAUACUCAGUUAUGAUGAUGAUUAUUUUUAACAAUGAUAGUCAAGAUUUUAGUGGUGAUGAAUUUGCGCAUAUAAGGUGGGGCUUGUCGAGAAUUUCUCUCUUGCAUAGCAGUUGAAAGACCAUCUAUGUUCUGCUUAAUUAUUUCAAUGUGCUAAAGGACUCUUACCCUUCAACAGAGAGUGGAGCUCUCAUUGUGACACAGACAUAUGCAGAUCUGUUAUUCUUUAGACAUUUCUUUUGAUAACAGCACUUUGAUCAUCUUGGUUCUCUAAUAUCACUUUAAAGCAGAGUUUUUAUUUGUAGUUUCCUAUGUUCAGCGGCUGCAGAAAUAAUGUGAAAUUGCACUUUAAAAAGUCAUGCAGAAAGCUAAGAUCAGUUGCUAAAUGAUAGUCAGUUUUAGCACCGUUACACACCUAUGUUCAUAACUGCUGCAAGAACAGCAAUUGAAAUGCCAGGUUUGUAUUAUAAACCUUCCUCUGAUCUAAGCUUUUAGUUGACAUUUUCCCUUGAGUCAUGACUUAGAGUAUUAUCAUGAGUUCCCCUUUCAUCACACAAAGGAUGUGGUUUUGUUUGCUUUUUUUGUUUUGGUUGAGUAUCUUGUGCAGUAAAGAUUGGACUUAGUUUUAUCCCUAUAUAUAAGCUUAGCAAAACAUCUCGUUGUACUUUGUUUCUUAUAGCUACUUUCUCUUUAAUAUGAUUAGCUGUUUCUGCUGAAUAAUACCUUAAUGAUAGGGCUGAUGCAUUUUUAAUGCAUGUACUCUUUGUCAUUGUCUAAAUUAACAUUUUGAUGAUUGUAGAUUUUUUCCCUCUAAAAUCUUUAGUGGAUUGCUAUGUUAUGUGCUUACUAACAGCUGAAAUAUAAAGUCUGAUCAGAGAAAUAUUAGGUGUGGUCAUCAAAAUUAGUCGGAAAAUGUUGUUUAAAUGCUCAAUUGCAUAAAGGCUGCUAGAAUUACAUUUCCCAACAGCCUCCUUAAAGAAACAACCUUUGAGUUUCAGUAGUAACUCUUGGGAUCUAACACACACACAUUUACAUCCAAACUCAUAAAAAUCAGCUAGGCUUGACUUCCAAGCAACACAUCAAUAAGAAUAAGCUGUGCAUACAAAGGGCCUGUUUCUGUGAACCUUUGGCUUCAGUGGGACUUUUAGUGGGAACACAGUUACUCAUGUACACAGCUAAAGCAUUCAGAGCCCAAUUCUCCCAUUCAAGUCAAUGGCAUAACUCCAAUUGACUUCAUUGUGGACAGGAGAGGGUCCUAGUUCCAAAGGUUUUUAACAAGAUUUAUAGCAUUUAUUUCACUAGUUUUACAUGUGAACCGUGACCACCGAAAGUUUAAUCUGUUAUGUAAAUGUCUUAAUUCUGUAAAGACUUGCAUCUAUGAGUAACUUUACACAUAUGAGUAGUCAAUAGGACUACUGUGUGACUAAAGUUACUAGUGUGUAAUUCUUUGAAGGAUCAGGGCCUUCUUUUGUAAAUGUAACUGGCUUUAGGAGUAAAUCCAUAAAAACAAUCAAAUGCUACCCUGACUUAGAAGGCUGAUCCUACAAAUUGCUGAGCCGUUCUUGAGAGAUGCUGAAUGCUUUCAGCUCCCACUGAUUUCAACAGGAAGUGAGACGGCUCAACCCUUUGCAGGAAUGGGCCAUUAAGCCUGUGUAACCCCAUAGGAAUUGCAUGGGUGCAAAUGAAAGCAGAAUAUGUCCCAAGAAAAGAUUUGCUUUAUUAAAGAUAGGAGAAUUCAUUUCUAUUUUCCAUUGCAGUCAAAGAAACACCCUGCAUUGGUCUACUCACAGUAGCUAGCACUGCCCUUGGUAGUAAGUGUUUGCAAACUCAGGUCUUAAAUUAAUUGAUGUGCACUUCAAUCUGAUUUCAUGUACCCUUUCCCAUAACAAACACCUCUCUGAUACAGGUAAAUACACUUUACAGAAGGGCAAAUACAUGAAAAAUGGAUCUUGCUGCUAUAAGGCUGAUACAAACAAAAAAAUCUAACUCUUGCAGUCCGGACAUAGGCUAAAGUCCCACUGACCUCCGCAAGGACUGCAGGAUUAGACUGUUAUCUAUGUUCCAUAGCCUCCUCCCACAUGCAAAUUUGUCAAAAGCAAGGGUCAUACCACAAGGUACAGCACAAUAGCUGGAUUGCAUCAGGUUAGGUAGGUUUUAUUCCUUUCUGACCAAUCCUGCUUUCUGAUGCAUCCACGAGCCUCACUGAUUUCAAAGGACAUUUAGGAUUCACAUAAAAUGUAGGAACAGACACUAGCCAUUCAGAUUUUAUGCUCAAGUUAUUUCUAUAAUAUUUAAUUGCACUUCACCAGCCUAGGGGACUGCCAAGAUUCAGAGAAUUUUCUUCACGAAACACAUAAUCUGUCAUCUAUCCCUCUGCACCUUUAAUUGUGCUUCAUGAGGACUAAACAAACUGGCCUUUUCCUUUAGAUUUAAAUCUCCCAUUAUUGUAUAGCUAUACAGUUGGAAUUUUAUGUUUUGUAAGCAUUGUAUACAAUUAUACAGUGGGCUUCUGUAUCACUUUUUUAAAAUGUAACAUUUUAUUAUAAAGCAACAAGAAGAGACUUAUUACAUUUAGCUAUUAUAUUAUCUGCUAACAUUUUUUUGAAACCAUAACACCAAUUACAGAUCAUCACAAAAUGUUACAGGCUUCAACCUUUACCCCCUCAAAUAUUUAAAUAUGGAAACAUUUAUUAGAGAAUCUCCCCUGAACCUUACAUUCCUUUAUAUUUAUGAUUUAGAAACCAAAGUUAUUCAAAACUCAAAUGUUUCAUUGGUCUAGUGUGCAUUUUAUCAUAUAACUAACAUCCAUAGAUAUGAAAUGAAACAAUAUGAAACAGUGGGCCCUAGAGAAAUUAGGGUAAUAGGUGGAAGAUAGCAAAAGGACUCAGACUGGAAAAGAAUCAGAGUUCACACCAACUCUGGAGAAAUAGCCUGAAACACACAUAUUCAAAGGGAGCAAGAAUCCUGGAGAAGUGUAAAGCUGUAAGAGGCCUAGAGGUGAAAGUGGAGAGUAAAUUAGACAUUACUUUGCAAAAUGAUAUGGCAGGAAAAACCACUAAUGACAUUUGGAGCUGAAUGUGCAGAUAUAUUGUAUCAGAAAACAGAGAGGAAAAAUCAUGCAACAGCUGUGUGUGUGAUCUCACUUGGAUUAUUACAUUCAGUCUGGGGAUGAUAUUUCCAAAAUUAUAGUGACCAGUUGGAGGCAGAUGAGAGAAGAACAGAAAAAAAUAAUCCAAGGGGUGGACGGACUGAUUUAUUAGUAAAAAGUAAGAGAACCAAUGGUAUAAAUGAAAGCAAUAAAUAAUCAAGAUUUCCAUUCUAGAAGGGAGAGAGCCUUUGCAGGGUGAUGCAUAAGGGCAUGUCUGGGACACAUGGGAUGAAAUUAAGAAAGGUAAAAUUCCAGCUGGAUUUCAAGAAAAACUUCCUUUAAGUGGGCCCAAUACUGCUCCCAUUUUAGCCAAUUGGAGACUAUAGAAAGCAGUGAAAUAGCCUCCAAGGGGAAACCUCUUGACUUGGGAAAUUUAAAACUAGAUUGGCCAAGCUGCUAGAAAAGGUACUACAGGGAACAAUCAUCCUGCAUUGUCAGGGAGAUUGAAUUUUAGAGGUCUUUCUCAUCUCUAAAUUCUGUGAUAUGAUUCUAUGAAAUUGAAAUGACUCCGGUAUUUCUCUGAUAUUUUGUGCCAUUAGAAAGAAGUAGGGCCAUUACUGUCUUUUAAAGUUUCCAAGUAACUCUGUCCAAGUGAAUAUAUUUCUGAUGCACUGUAGAAACUCAUAUCCAUCUUAAUCUCUUAUCUGUUUCAAUGUCAGUUGUCACCAUAAAUUGUUCUGUAUUAGUUUAUUUGAAUUUUUAUGUAAUGUAUACCCCUUUCAAACUAUUAAACAUUAGGUAUGAAAUCAAUGUUGAAAUACUCUAGCUGACUUUCCUUUAAUAUUAAAAAUGCUGAUUCAUAACCUUUGUUUGUAAUAUUAACAGUUCUCUUGAUAAGAUAGGAAAAUACCAAAAAAUUCAUUAAUAUCUGGAGUUCAAACCAGUCUUUUAAAUAACUGAAAAUCAAUGGCAAAAUGAUCAUGUGGGAUUGGUCUUCUUUAAUGGGAGAUCCAGUAAUAUUCUGAACUAGAACUGAAGAUUAUUUAAUCGUAUAGUCAGUAACCAAAAAGAAGCAUCUCGUUGCAUCUUGCAUGAAUGUUUACAUAGCAAAUGUAGAUCUGAUAUGACUCAUAUCACAUUAUCAAAUGGCAAUGUCUUUAUAAGGAUUCACAUUAUCUUACCAAGAAGUUACUGGUUGAUGAAAAAUUCGUAUUUUAAAAGUGCAUCACUGUCAUUAUUCAUUAUAGAUUUUUUUGAAAAGACAAAUGGCAACAGAUACGAGCCAUGAGACUUGAUUCAUUAACACAUUAGACCCUUUGGAAACAAAAAUUUUAAUAAUUAUACUUUAAAAGGUAAUUCAUAUGGUUGUUCUAAGCACAUGACCUCUUCAGCCAUGAUGUAGAACAACCUUUCCUUAAAAUCUAUAAUUAUACAGUUCUGCAGCUGCCAUUUUAUUGAGAUAACUGUUUUGUCUUCCUGCUAUAGUAGUUAAAGGUGACCUGCAAAGGAAAAAAUGUGCAUGUGCCUUUUCUCCCCUCUUUUGUGAUAUAUACAAAAGGCCUAUUAUCAAUUCGUAUUUUGCUUUAGAAAUGUCAGGAGCAUUAAAUUCCCUGUUUUUCCUAGAGGACUUGGGGAAAUACUAAAGAAAUGUAGUGGGAGUUUUGUCAGACAUCAAUUGAAGAAGCAGAGAUUUUGUUAAUCAUUAAGAACAAGAGCUUUUCUCCCACGUUUGUCAAAAUCUGAGUUAAAUAAAAAAACAAAAGUUUUUUACAUAGACUGACUAAAAAGCAUUUCCCCUUUCAACUGCUCAUGUUUCAAUUUCUUGUCUCUCAUGAUGUCAUAAUCCCAUUAUGUCUCUUGUGAUGUCAUGACACACUAGGUCUUCAGUCAUUCAUACAGUUCCUCUGUAUGGAUAUACAAACCCUGGUAUUUCUAAGGUUGACACAAGAGAAAAACAAUAUUUAGGUCUCCUUUGUGCAUCACAAAGAGUAUGGGCAAAAAGCCACAAACAAAACUUUAUUUUUUUACAGGUCUUCUUGAAAGUAGGAAUUUAAUCUUCAUGUCCAUCUGAAUAUUUAGCCACUCAUGCUGCUACUUUACUCAUGCUUAUAGUCUUCUUGAUUCAAUGUGUGUUUAACAGAAAUAUAAAGGAAGCAGGAUUGAAUUUGAUCUGGAAUAGGCCGGGAGGCAAAAAAACAAACAAACAAAAAAUUUGCUUGAGCUUUUGGACUUUAACUAUUACCACAUUUAAUUAUAUUUAGAAUAUUUCACAUAUUUAUUUAUUGCAAAAGAUAAAUAUUGGCACAGCAUAAUAGCUCUGCUCUUUUCCUAUUAAAACCUCUCUUCUGAGAUUAAUUCCAGAGCUAGUGAUUAGGUGAGAAUUUUCUUUCCUAGAAGUCGGCAGCUCAUGCUGACAAGGCUUGGCCUUCUUAGUGAUGGGCCCUUUGCUGCUCAGAAGUGUGAGAAAUGGCUUUCUAAAAUAUUGACGGCGGGCUUUGUAUUACACAAUUAAGAAUCAAACUUGUAGCUGACCAAACAGAACUUAACUUGCAAGUAUCAAUGUACCACAGCAACGACAGUGAGGGGCCAAGAGGUUAGAACCAUAUUCCAUCCUCUAGGAAUUUUUAUUUUUAAAUAAGUGGCCAGUAUCCAUUAGUGUAAAUCCGUGCAGUUCUCCUGAAGUCAAAGGAGCUAUGCCAUUUAUACCAAGCUAGGAUCUGGCCUAGAGACUUUAAAAGGCAUUGCAAAAUUAGAGCAAAAGGAUUUCUAUUAUAAUUUAUUUUAAAAAAUUAUAUGUGCUUUUUACUCCCAUAGAUCCUUGACAUGUCAAUGUAGCUGCAGUGGCUGCAUACUACUUAACAAGAAACUAGAGUGCAAACCAUUCAUUCCCCAUGUGGUUUGAUAGAAAUGUGCACAGAUUUCAAAUACAGGCCUGGAUGCCUCCUUUCAACCAUAAAAGGAAAGCAGGCAAGCCUCCCAUCCAACACAAUGCAUUAUGCAUCAAUAAUGUGAGACAACAUCUAUCUACAUACUGAACACUGGAAAUGAUUGAGUUCCUACACAGCUAUGUUAGUGAACCCUAUCUGUACCUGUAUCCAUAUCUUCUAUUCUUAGAACCAUGGGAAAUACUCAGGCAAUGGGGAAAAGAGACACACUAUAAAGCUUAACAUGCCAAGGAGAAUCAGCUACAGUGCUCAAAAGAUGGAUCUAUGGUGACAACGUCAAUACAUGCUACCUAUUAGGACACUGCUAUUCUAAAGGGGAAAUUCAACCAAAUAAAUAUGUGUUUGCAGGAAAAAAUGCUAAUACUCAGUAAGUGACCUGCUGAACCUAAAAAGAUGGUGAAAUUUUCAUUGCGUUUGCCAAAAGAAAAAUACGUUCUAGAAGGACCAUGGAAUAAGAGGACAUAACCAGUCUGAUGUUCACCAAAAUCUAUUGUCUAAUACACUGGAGACUUUGAUCAGUAACAUUUCAUUUUUACCUACGAUAAGGAUGCUGAUGUAAUAAAGACAAGUCCAGCAUUUUAUUGGCUGCAUAAGUUUCCAACAUGGACGCUGAAAUUAUUGCAAUCAGCUGCAGCUUUAACAUGCACGCUGGUGUGGCAAUGAAUAGUCACUCACCUAUGAGAAGUUUGUCAUAAAUUUGGCAUUCAAAAAUAAUCCUAAAAACCAGUUCAAUCUAAAAGGCACUUUUGUGCUAUUUUCUUUUUCUUUUUCCUUCAGUGGAACUUACCCAUAUGCUCUAAAGUUUUUUUCUUCCCCAAUCCAGUAUGGAUAAUAUAAAUCUUAUGUAAAUAAGAAGAAUCAGGAUCCUCCAUGUGUUAUAUUAUAGAUUGCGUGAAAAUUGGCCAAAUUUAUUUAGAAUAUAACCAUAUAUAAUACAAAAAGUGAGAAAUCAAACCUAAUAUGCUUCGAUAAAGGCAUGGGGGCAGGAGAGAGCAUUAUAGCAGUAAUUUAGGAUAUAUGACCUGUAUGAAUCCAUCCUUCCUUCUACCUAUUUACUUUAGCUAGGGUUUGUAUCCUUUAGUAUUCCUUUCCUCUAAAGUGUCGGUCCAAUUCCUGGAAUAUGUUCAGUCUUUAUUGGCUUUGGUAGUUAGUUCCACACAUUUGUUACCCUUUGUGUAAAGGAACUGCUUUUAAUGCUUUUUUGUGUUUUCUUAUUUUAGGGACAAAAUCUGCUCUCACAUCAGAGUAAAUCCAAACUAGCUCCCUUGGUGAAAAUGGAUUAAUUCUGGAUUUUUUCUCCACUGUACUGUGAUGUGAGAGAAUAAUUUGGCUUAACCAUCAGUUUGUGUUUUGCUGUUUUCAGUCCAUUACCUUCUUGAAGUUUCUUUGCAUCCACCUUUCCUGUACCCUUCAAAUUUUCAUACAUUUAAAUUUCUUCCCAUAAUAUUUUCUUCUGAACAGCACACUUUGCUUCACAGUAACCUAUAGAGCCAGUUAAGAAUGUGCUCCAAAAGUGCAGACCUCCUGAGUUGCAGGUUCAUGGUCAUGCUUAGGAAAUGUUGAAGGGCAAGUAAAUUGGUAGGUAUCUUUAGGACUCCAUGAGUAGAGGGAAGAGUCUCUACAUGACAGAAAAGAAGGUGUCAGAUUUGAUCUGCUAUUAGUCAUUUAUGUCAAGAUUUUAACAAACUGGGGCCUGAAGUUCAACUCCUAAAUUCAUAUUUAGGCAUCUAAAAGUAGCCUGACUUUUGAGAGCUGCAGGGUGCUUGGGUGUUUAUAAAACAUACCAAAUAGCACAUUUAGGCACCUUAAAGAUUAUCUGAAUUAUGAUCCUGACUUUAUGACCCCAUUUUUAAAAAUUGGAUUUUAAUCUCAGACAUAGAGAUGUGCAUCAAGGUGUACCUUGGAAAAGUCAUUAUAGAUUUUAUGGAAAUAGACUCACCAGUGGGUAUUUAAGAAACGGUGUUAUGUGCUGAUGCAUAUCUGAGUUUAGAAUCAAGCCCAGUAUAAUAUGUCAUAUGCAAACAAAAUUGUCACAUGAAGAUAAAGGAAAUGUUUGCAGAUGAAGGGACACAAUGCCAGUAUUGUUCGUGAUUCAUCUUGGAUACUUCCCACUGCUUUAGUUGCAUAUCACCUGAAGCUACAGGUCAGUGACUCAGAGACUAUAGUUGUAUUCCUGCAAUCCUGCUGCAAGUGUCUGUGCGGAAGUUUUGGGUCCUACAAAGAAAACAACAUAGCUUAUUUUUUCCAAUAUGAUUGUUGCUAAAUGAAGAGUAAAAAGGGGUUAAGAGAAAAGCAAAACAGAUUCCUGUGAUUUCCCUCCCCUUAUUUUAAAAUGAAUAUGAUUAAUUGACUUUCUCAUGAGCAUAGGAGACCGACAAUGAACUCUGGGGGAACAAGGCAUAGUAUGGGUAUGCACCAUGCCAGCUUCUCACUCAGUUCUGCCAAACAACCUGAAAUCUUGAUUUAAAGAAACUCUGCUGUGUCAGUUCUGGCAAUUUCACAUAAACAGAGUCUGCCAUUUAUAGCAUAUAGAGCCAAAUUGUAUGGUAGUGUUGUAAAGUGAACAAACAUCCAUUGGGAAUUAGCGUAACCUACAACAUGCAUUUUCCUUAUUUUAAAUCAAAUUUGAAUACAGCUUGAGCAAUCUCUAUGACAUUUUUUCCUUUUUUAUUUUAAGGUAAUUUAUUUCUUAUGAAAGGGAACACUAACAUAUCUGGAAUUUGGUAGCCUCUGUUUAUACACAGAAUAGGUCAAGAACAAGAAACUUCUCCACACUACCCCAUGAAUGCACUUCCGCUCUGGCUGAAAAGAACAAGCUUAGGAUGCCAGGGUAUUUCAGAUUCCACAUCCAUGCAAAUCCUAAUCCUACGCAUCUUUUUAAGAUUGUCAAUGAAGAUGCCAAUGCUGUGAUUUCAGAGAAGAAUUCUGCUUUAAAACUGUCAGUCUAUGGCUCAAUUUUGGUGUCAUGGUGCCAGCUCUGCAGAAAUAGAAAAAGCAGAAAACACCCAAAAUGUGACAUUAUAAAUUGUGACAGUGUAAUACAAUAUACAAAUAUGAUGGGUUUUGGGGCCCUGAAUCAGUAAUUCAUCCCUACUCAGCAAAGCACUUAAACACAUGCUUAACUUAGGCAAGUGCUUAAGUCCAAUUGACUUCAAUGAGACUUAAGUGCAUGCUUAAAGUUAAGAGCAUGUUAAAACAUUCUGAUGAAGUGGGGCCUAAAGUGGUGUCCUGAAGUCCAUUCACUUAAGCAGGUUGACGCAUAGCCAUUAGAAAUAUAGGACCAAAUCCCUCACUGAUGUUAACUGGGGCAUCUCCACUGAAGGUCUGGAGCAUAGUUGUUUGAUGUCAUACAAUCUUUUAUGUAUUUUCUGAAUAAAUGCCAUUUUUUCAAAGCCGUAUUGUAAAACAAAGAUAUAUUCUAUAAAGCCUGAACAGGUUGAUAUAAUGAUA